rnacentral:sRNA from 1 species
ACGACCAAACCCUAACCCGCGAUCCGCCUCCGCCGCCGCCACCACCACCACCCACCCGGAUCCCCACCUCCCUCCCCGAUCUCACCACCUCCGUAUAAAGGCGGCUCGGUUUGAAAAAUCUUUGCCUCCGGAGGAGGAGGGGGGGAUGGCUGCCGCGGCGGUGGAUCCGAUGGCGCUGGGGCUGGGGACGAGCGGAGGAGGAGGAGGAGGCGAGUCGGCGGUGGGGGGUGAUGGGGCGGAGCCGGUGGAUCUCGUCGAGCACCCCUCCGGGAUCGUCCCCACCCUCCAGUGAGUCCCCCCCGCCACCCCCGCGUCGCAGGCUUGACGAGAACGAUGGGGGUUGUUCUUGGAUGAUCUGGAUCUGGGAUAUCUGAAUGUGGGAUGUGAACUUGACGGGGCUUGUGGAUCUUGAUGGGUUUGGGGUGGUGGUGGUGGUGGGGAGUAACAGCUAAACUUGACGGGGAUUUUGUAGAUCUGGACUUGCACGGGUUAGGGUUGGGGGAAACCUGCGGGUUCUUGAUCUGAUACGAUCUUGCAUUGGUUUGGAGGAGUGCGAGUUUAUCUGAUGUGGAGGCCGAUUCGUGCUC